AAACCUGAGAGUUUGAUCCUGGCUCAGAACGAACGCUGGCGGCAGGCCUAACACAUGCAAGUCGAACGCUCUCUUCGGAGGGAGUGGCAGACGGGUGAGUAACACGUGGGAACCUACCCCUUGGUACGGAAUAACUGAUGGAAACGUUAGCUAAUACCGUAUGAGCGCUGAGGCGGAAAGAUUUAUCGCCAAGGGAUGGGCCCGCGUAGGAUUAGCU
rnacentral:ncRNA from 1 species